rfam:Ciona savignyi cont_62212, whole genome shotgun sequence.
GUCGUCGUGGCCGAGUGGUUAAGGCGACAGACUUGAAAUCUGUUGGGCUCUGCCCGAACAGAUUCGAAUCCUGUCGGCGACG